GGGGAUUUAGCUCAGUGGCAUAAGCACCUGCCUUGCAAGCAGGAGGUUGUGAGUUUGAUCCCUG
rnacentral:tRNA from 1 species